CUCGUCAUUAAGUGCUGCUCGCUCAGUAUAUAUAUGGCUCUCAUCUUUCCAGUUCGGGUUAGUGUUUUCUCAUGUUAAUGUUUCCUCUGGUUUUGGUAUGAUAUCUUCAGGUUCAGUGUCGUUUGUUGCUUGUGCAUGGUCUUGGGCUCUUGGCUAUGUAGCGUCCACUCCCAUAGGCCAUAGAUGUUUUUUUUUUUCAUUUUUUAAGUGCUUAAACCAAGAGCUCUUGGUCUAGUGAUAAUAGAACACCAGUUGGAGUGCCGCUCUGGGUUCGAGUCGCCUUGACCACCUUCCCGU
rnacentral:lncRNA from 1 species